GACGAACGCUGGCGGCGUGCUUAACACAUGCAAGUCGAACGGAAAGGCCCAGCUUGCUGGGUACUCGAGUGGCGAACGGGUGAGUAACACGUGGGUGAUCUGCCCUGCACUCUGGGAUAAGCCUGGGAAACUGGGUCUAAUACCGGAUAUGACCGACUGUCGCAUGGUGGUUGGUGGAAAGCUUUUGCGGUGUGGGAUGGGCCCGCGGCCUAUCAGCUUGUUGGUGGGGUAAUGGCCUACCAAGGCGACGACGGGUAGCCGACCUGAGAGGGUGAUCGGCCACACUGGGACUGAGACACGGCCCAGACUCCUACGGGAGGCAGCAGUGGGGAAUAUUGCACAAUGGGCGCAAGCCUGAUGCAGCGACGCCGCGUGAGGGAUGACGGCCUUCGGGUUGUAAACCUCUUUCACCAGGGACGAAGCGUGAGUGACGGUACCUGGAGAAGAAGCGCCGGCCAACUACGUG
rnacentral:rRNA from 1 species